AAGACUUGUUCGAGGAAGUGUGCCAACAAUAGAUAUUUUGUUUACCUUUUAAUUUAUUUUGAGUAACAAAAUUUACGACGAAAAUUUUUCUCGCUUUCGACAUCAGCGUUGUGCUUCGAGGAUGAAAAAUGUCGUUUCAACCAAAUUCAUCGAUUUCGGCAUAAUGAUUCGGAAAAGUGAUACAACCCAACGAGCGCCAUUCAUUUGAAGCGGCGGGCCUGAAGUCGACUAAUUGAGGACUCUUGUACAGUCACUUCGGUUGUGCAAGCUGAAUAUUCAGUUGCGAUAAUGACAAGGACGAAGAGAAUAAGAAUAGUGAUAAUAAUUACGGGAAAAGAAGAUCUACGCGAACGCGUAUAUCUGUGGACAUGGGUCUAGUGGGACGUAAUUGGGUGAUAUGGUGAAGAUAUAAUGUGCUAAAAGGGCUUGCAAACUCAUUGACAUCUCACACCGACACAUCCUGAUAGUAAUCACGUUUCGAUGGUGCAACGUAGUGCAACGUUUCAAUCCGAUGGAUUUAUGUUUCGCUACUGAAUGUUCUUAGUACAGUCUUAGGCAAAAAAAUAUUUUUAGAUAGUAGAUGAUCAAUAAUAGAUCAAAGCCAUUUAGUAACCGGACGGGACGUCAGUGUACCAUAUCGCUUCACAUUGUAUGAUCGAAAUUUCUUGUUUAAUCCUAUAUUCAAUGUACGCGUAUCCGCCUUUUAACGAUUUUACUAAAAUUACUAACGUUAAGCAGUUAUUCUAGAGAGUUUUAAAUCGGAAUAGAGGAGACCUAUGAAAGAAAAACUAACAAUGAGUACGAAACUUUUAGUCUCACAGCGUGUGGGGCAUAUAGGACACGACAUUGUACCUGUGUAUGCUUUGAAGGGCAUCGAAAGAGAUCUCAAGACAUUUAUUAGUCUUUUAGAGCGAAAACGACUUGUGGUUAUAUUCAAGAUUUGCUCGUCCGUGUAAAACUGUGAUCUGAGGGGGCAAAGCCAGCGGCUAUAAAGUGUCGCCUUUCAAACGGAUCAUCGUAUUCGUCUAAGGAUAUCUAACAUUAGCAACAAGAGAUUCGUGAUGAGCACCAGCUUUGAAUUGACAACGGUGGAAUUUUUUCGUUCAUCCGCACGAGUGAUUCAGAGGGCAAAGUUCACCAUCGACUCAAGAUGCCACCUCUAUGGCUCCUCCUCAAAUAGGCGAGAAGAGGGCAAGCUGCGGACAAUUCACGACGACACUUCCGAGAACCCAAUGAAGUCAAAACCCUUUAACGUAGAUGACUGCUUGGUCUAGGCUGACUUAACGUGGUACAGCUUGCGAUGCGGGCUGUUUGACUCCGAGUCAAACGGAGGCAAAAAGGCAUUGAUAUUUGUAAGCAACACGUAACCGUGCGGAAGAAGUGCUCGGCAAAAUUUGUGGCUUAAAAAAGUUUCUUCGAUACAGGCGUGUACUCUGUACGUUGAAAAACGUGCGUAAAAAUGCUUUACAACAACGAGGUUCAGUUUCUUGGGAUGCUGAUAAUGACAUCAUUGUGUACGAUUAUUGAGCUUACGGCAGCGUACCCGGCUGAUAUGAACCGAGAAAAAUGCAAAAGUGACGGGAUUUAUUGGCAAGUCCACGCGGGAGAAAUGAUUCCGUGUAGUCCGACGUGCGAUCAGGUGUACCGGCUUACCGACCGCAAUGAUGUUUCAGGAAAAACAAUUCAUGAGCACUGUAAACUCAACACAUCGGUUGGAAAAUACUACCACGACAUCGCUAAUCGUACCAUGUGCACUUGCACGAACGGAGCAGCUUACAAGUCCGUGUCAUCGAUCGAUUGGAGCUCGAUUUCCGAGGUAACUCAGUGGCACUGCAUCCCGCCGUCCAGCUGGAGCUUCCAGCUCACCAAGGCAAAUACGUAUCGAGUAGUCUGUCUCUAGUGUAACCGCGAUGGCAGAUAUGUGAUAACGUUGCCUGAUAAGCUUGACCACUCGUUUUACUACCUCGUAUCGGGCACCGAACGUGUUUCCCGAUGCGUAUGUACAUAUGUGUAAAAUGGCGCUCAACUCAUAGUUUUCGCCACUGAAAUAUAGUGAGCAUGUUAAAAAGGCACGGAGAAAAUCAGUCGUAACCGGAAUAAUCCAACGUUUCUACUGGCGUUCUACCGUAAUAGACACGGUUAGUUGUCGAGAAAUUGAUUGUGACUAUAGAUUGGCAAAAACCAUAGAAAAUGCGUAAUGCCUUGCGCGUGCAUGCGAUCGUAACUUAUCGAAAUUUACGAAAAAAUAUAUGAAUAGCCUCUAUGCGCAGUUACAGCACUGCACAGAUUAACGUAGAAUUUUUACAAAAUAACAAAUUUCCAGCUCGCAAGAACCCAAAUAGCUUAUUAUGGAUUAGAUCCGCUACAAUGAGAAGUAAGCUAUAAAUGUAACUAGCGCUCCUAUCCCAGGCUGUCGAUUUAUUGAUAUGUCUAUCGAAAUAAUAAAGCAACGUUGUUUUCAGUUCGGUAAUCAGUUUCUUGUUAUCAUAGUCAUCUUCGGACCAACUUCACUCGUUUCAAUAGAAGAACAAUCGCUGUUGGUGUAGGUCAGCAGAAGUCUUCGUUUAUCAUAGCCUGCCCUUUUUGAAGCUGACGUCGCGCAAACGCUCACCUCAUAAGGCGAAUUCACAACGCCUGUACUAUUUGCAUAGGAUCGUAUGAAUAUUCGAUGUAAAUCAUUAGUGAUUCACCAUAUGGAUACAUUAAACGGGUUUAAGGCGAUGCUUCCUAGACUCGAAAGGCAAACGUAAAUGGCGCUCGCUAGAGACAGACUGUAACUUAUUUCAGUCAUUUGAGAUGUUGCGUCGUCCACGGCCAUUGUUUAGCCUUUGGUAGCAUUUAGCUACAAUAUCUAAGUUAAACAAUGUUUUUGCACGACCUUUGAGCUAAAUUCAUAUCCGUUUAAUAAAUAGUAAUUAUAGUUUGAUACAGUAAAAUAAGCUUUUUUAGCCAAUUUGAAUAAAUAAUCUUAUUUUGCGAAAUUUCUGAGAAAAUGGCAACAUGUGCAAUGUUUCUGUAGAUAAAUGUAUAUACUAAAAGUUACAUUAUUGGAACUAAACACGUGCGCGCCGGCAAACAAAUCUCAUUCUGAAAUCUGAGCGUUGGCCAGUGCUUGCCGAUAUGCGCAACCCCCAUACGUACAUAGUAAAGUUCUAGUUGUAU